GCACUGCAUAAAAAAUGGAAUGCAAAUUUGUCAAAUGAUAAUGCUUUUUAAUCAGAUUCUUAAGAUGCUGUGAACUUACUUGCUCCUCAUUAUCUUCUGCCUCUUCACAGUAGUCUAUAAGGGCCUCAAUUAUCUUUGUCUGUAGAAAUGAAGAAUAUUAAAGGUCUUUCACAGCCCUUCGGCAUGCUAUACAACCUCUUUCGUCUUCCAACUGAAAAGGGACAAGUCAUACAACCACUCCAGAAGUUGAGAACUUUUAAAAGGUAGAUAUGUUUAAUUUUUUUGUUUAUCUGGUUCUGAUUUUAUAAUUAACUUUUGUUUUAGCUUUAUCUCAACUGUUUGAGGCCUCCUUAAUAAAUAUUCAUUCUCUAUGAGUUUUAGCUUGGUGGUGGAUGUGAUGCCAAACCUAUUGAGCACACUUCAAUCAGUCAUAUUAGAUAUAUCAUUUUUCUUUCUAGUUCUUUGACAAGAAUUUUAUCCGCCCAUUUGAUGGGUGCAUUUUCUACCCGUAUGCAUGCCCAAAUCAUAAAAGUUUGUCUUUCAUUAAUUAUCUUCAGUAGGUAUGACUCUUAUCGUCUAUAUAAUAUAUUCAUUUUUCUAUCUUAUUUUUUUGUUUUUCCCCUAAUCCAUAUCAGCAUUCUCAUCUAUAUUACACUUAGCUUAGUUAUUAAUAUUUUUUUAUUUUCCAAUACUCAAAUCUACAUCCUCUAUAUAAUUGUAGUUUUAUAUAUCUUAAAACCCCCAUGAUAUUUUCUUAUUACUUUACAUGCUGGUGUUUCUCACUUUAUCCAUUUUAGUCAUCUAUAUUUAACUUUAGAAGUAAUAUCAUGUAUGCCCUUUUUUAUGAUAGAUACAAGAUACAUAAAUCUAUCACAUUUAGAUAUUAAUUUAUUUUCUAUUAAGAUUAAUUGAUAAUUGUUAAUCUCAUUCCUAUGGCUGUCAAAUGGGUAACUCAAAACUUUAUUCAAGUGCAUUUAAUUAAGGCUUUUAAAGUCCAUCAAGAACUUGAGCUAGCCUAAAUUUAAGAUGAGCUUUUGUGUGCUACCCAUUAAAGCAUACUUAGCUUGUUUAUAAUACAACAUAUAUAUAUUUAAUAAAAAUUAAUGUAAAAACUCACUUGAUUUCCUUAGUUAAAUUAAAAUCAACGUGAACAUAUUUGAAUUAGUGUCAUACGCUCAAAUCAGAUUGAGGAGCUUGAAAAUCUCUCUGAAGUAUUUCCAGUUUCCAAUGUUAUAAAAGUUUUUGUGCACAUAGGUGAAAAGUGAUCCUAGCCUAUCUGGGUAAAAUGCAAACUUUUGACAUCAUUAUCCAUCAUAUAUAUUAGCUUUGUGCUUCAUUUGUCUUCACCUUAAAAACACUCUUCAAUUUUUCUUGUUAUAUACCAAAAGUUCCUAUUUAAAUAAUGGGUUAGCUUAUGCAAAGUAGUAAUUCAGCUCUAUCGAAUAUAUAUAUGGUGAAAAGACGUCAGAUCCAAAAAAGCUACAACUGCAUAUUACUAAACCGAGUGACAUGCAUUUUUCAUAUUGUUGCUAUUGCAAUUGAGAAUGUAAUUCCUUAUCUUUGUUUGUUUUCAAUUGAGAUGAAAAUUUAUUCAGCAAGAAGUUAUUCAGAUAACAUAUUAUUUGCAUAGCUAAGAAUCCUUUUUUCUAAUUUUCUCACCUCCAUAGAUACUUUGUUCUCCACAAAGAUUUCAAUUUCAUCUUGUGUCCUGUGCUGGUCAAUGCAUAAACCUGUGAUGUUGCAAAGGUUUUUUUCAUGGAAAACUUCUUGCAAUGAUUGUUUGGUAUGAUGAAUUUGCAUCUUAGAUUUCUCCAAACACUGCUAGAGAGACAAUUGAUAUCUAGUAAGGACGAAUAUUGAGAGAGAUUACUGAACCGGCUUCAUGUAAUUGAGCUACAAUGAAUACAAAAUCUCACCUGAGUUUCAAAGUUUUCUGGCAGGAAAUGACAUACUUCACUUGAAAGCAUAUCGAACUCCUUAAGCAGGUUCAUGUCUUUUAAUGUUCUUUCAGCUUUCCUUGAAGCCUCCAAGCACAAAUUGCAUCUUCCAUCUCCUGUCAAUUACAUGAUUUUUAGUCACAUACUUAUUUUGUUGUUACUGGGGAACAUAGUUUUUUUUUUCGAUAUUUUCUUUUCGUAAAAUUGAUUAGCUUGUGACAGUAUGGAAAGUUCAGGCAGGAAUACAUAGAAAAAGAAUUCGAAGUAUGGUUACCUUCAGGCAUGAACUGAGUAGGCUCUACGCUAUAAUACCUUGCAUCAGCAAACAUCAAUGAAGCAAUAAGAAAGACCAGGGCUGAUGCCAUUUUCAGUUCCAUCUUUAUCUGAAAGGAAGCGAACAUAAUCAAGAGUAAGCAACAAAAUGAUCGAUUCAGCGACAUCAGUGUGAUAUAAUGGAUUGCCAGACUUGUUUAUUUUGUUCUCUUUGGACAAUUUAAUGGAAAUUAACUAUCUUCUAACUGACAUUGGAUGCAUUCAAUAAAAAUUACAUUAUCA